rnacentral:rRNA from 1 species
GACGAACCGUGCAAACGUUGUUCGGAAUCACUGGGCUUAAAGGGCGCGUAGGCGGUCAAGCAAGUCCGGGGUGAAAUCUUUCGGCUCAACCGGAAAAGUGCCUUGGAUACUGCUUGUCUGGAGGGAGGUAGGGGCAUGUGGAACUUCUGGUGGAGCGGUGAAAUGCGUUGAUAUCAGAAGGAACGCCGGUGGCGAAAGCGACGUGCUGGACCUCUUCUGACGCUGAGGCGCGAAAGCUAGGGGAGCAAACGGG